GAACCUGGAUCGGGAGCCAUAUUAAGAUGACUCUGGGGAUCGCAGCAGUCCCUAAGUGAUCACAUCACAGCUCCUGUAACAGUAGGACAUGAUAUCUUAUGAGAUGCUCCUACCCUCAGUGGAGUUCUUCAGAAACCCAGCCUCCUCCAUAAGCCUUGAGAGAGGUGGGGCCAGGGAUUCUUUUCACUCCGCAGGUCUCCGUGCAACCCUCUGCUCCCAAGCUGGCACUACCAGCUUCUGGCCGCCUCCUUCAUUCUAUUCUCCAGAGAAGGCAGAAGAAACAGUGGAAAGCAUUAUCCCAAUGGGAAGCCAGGGUCUGAAGAAGGUGCUACUGCUCUUCCCUUCGGUACCCAACAUGGCAGAGGAUAUAGCGCACAGCUAAUCUGUACACGCCAUUGUGCUUGGCGCUGGAGGAACUGGGGCAGCCUGGGAGGAAGCUUCCUACCAUCUGCCCUCAUACACACCCUCCAAGCCCAGCAUGGAGGAUCCAGGAUUGGCAUCUGCUGCUCCUGUCCCCUCCCACCCUAUGGCUGUGAAAGACAGGACUGACCACACGUGUGUUUUCCAUUGGGUUUAAUGUGACGGAUGUGCAGUUUCAUUUGUAAAUGUGCAUUGGCCAUCUCCUUCAGUGCUGGGAUGUGAACGGCUAUCUGGCUCAACCAGAGGGGACCCUUGGGACCUUCUGAGCCUUCUCCUCCUCUACCUGGUUGGGUGGAGCAAAAGGAUAGUCACUUUUCUGAGGUCUCCCGGAAAUGAAUGUAUUUCUCCCCCAAAAGAGCUGAUAUUUAAUGUUUUACUAGGGAUUUUUGAGAAACAAAUAACCUUAUUUAUAAUCUGGGUGAUCCAAUCAUUUUUUUACUCCCCUUUGAUGCCAUACCUAGAGGAAAGGCAGGCUUUUUGGCGUGAGACUUUUGCAACCUGCAGUGGGAUAACACAUUUCCUCUUCUGGUUCAUUUUUCUUGUUAAAAUGCAUACAUCCACACAUAAACCCUUCCACUCAGCACCGUGACAAGCUCCCUACUCAGCACGGACGUGUGUGCAUACGUGCACAUGGAUACACAUGCCUUCAUCUCCCUCCCAGCCCCUUUCACCUGCCCCAUGUUAUGCAACCUCCUUCUGAUGUAUCCACCAAACCAGUACUGAAUGUGGCCGCGGAUUUCCAGUAAACCUUGUCACCUACCGAAA
rnacentral:lncRNA from 1 species